rnacentral:rRNA from 1 species
AGUGAACGCUGGCGGUAGGCCUAACACAUGCAAGUCGAACGGCAGCACAGUAAGAGCUUGCUCUUACGGGUGGCGAGUGGCGGAUGGGUGCGGAAUACAUCGGAAUCUACUUUUUCGUGGGGGCGAACGCGGGGAAACUUACGCUAAUACCGCAUACGACCUACGGGUGAAAGCAGGGGAUCUUCGGACCUUGCGCGAUCCAAUGAGCCGAUGUCGGAUUAGCUAGUUGGCGGGGUAAAGGCCCACCAAGGCGACGAUCCGUAGCUGGUCUGAGAGGAUGAUCAGCCACACUGGAACUGAGACACGGUCCAGACUCCUACGGGAGGCAGCAGUGGGGAAUAUUGGACAAUGGGCGCAAGCCUGAUCCAGCCAUACCGCGUGGGUGAAGAAGGCCUUCGGGUUGUAAAGCCCUUUUGUUGGGAAAGAAAAGCAGCAGGUUAAUACCCCGCUGUUCUGACGGUACCCAAAGAAUAAGCACCGGCUAACUUCGUG